UACUAUAGGCCAUGCUAUCCUGAACAAGCCCGAUCCCGUCUGAUCUCGGAAGCUAAGCAGGGUCGGGCCUGGUUAGCACUUGGAAGCCAAGUGCUGUAGGCG
rnacentral:rRNA from 1 species